UCGCACGAGAACGUUCUGGCUUUGCCAGGACAAGUACAGUGGCGGACGGGUGCGUAUCGCGUAGAUAACCUGCCCUCAGGCGCGGGACAAUCACGGGAAACCGUGGCUAAUACCGCACGUCGUCUGGACCCCGCAUGGGGACCAGAUGAAAGCCUUCGGGCGCCUUUGGAUGGGUCUGCGUUGGAUUAGCUUGUUGGUGAAGUAACGGCUCACCAAGGCAACGAUCCAUAGCUGGUCUGAGAGGACGAUCAGCCACACUGGGACUGAGACACGGCCCAGACUCCUACGGGAGGCAGCAGUGGGGAAUCUUGCACAAUGGGGUCACCCCUGAUGCAGCCAUGCCGCGUGGAGGAAGACACCCCUAUGGGGCGUAAACUCCUUUUCUGAAUGAAGAAACCCCUGUAGCUUCAGGGCGCGACGGUAGUUCAGGAAUAAGCACCGGCUAACUCCGUGCCAGCAGCCGCGGUAAUACGGAGGGUGCAAGCGUUGUCCGGAAUCACUGGGUGUAAAGGGUGUGCAGGCGGGGCAGCAAGUCGGAUGUGAAACCCCAUGGCUUAACCAUGGAGGUGCAUUCGAAACUGUUGCUCUUGAGUCCCGGAGAGGCUGUCGGAAUUCGUGGUGUAGCGGUGAAAUGCGUAGAUAUCACGAGGAAUACCAGAGGCGAAAGCGGACAGCUGGACGGGUACUGACGCUCAGGCACGAAAGCGUGGGGAGCAAACAGGAUUAGAUACCC
rnacentral:rRNA from 1 species